rnacentral:rRNA from 1 species
AUUGAACGCUGGCGGAAUGCUUUACACAUGCAAGUCGAGCGGCGGCGCGGCCUUCGGGCUGGCGGCGAGCGGCGAACGGGUGAGUAAUGCAUCGGAACAUGCCCAGUCGUGGGGGAUAACACUUCGAAAGAAGUGCUAAUACCGCAUACGUCCUGAGGGGGAAAGCGGGGGAUCGCAAGACCUCGCGCGAUUGGAGUGGCCGAUGUCAGAUUAGCUAGUUGGUGGGGUAAAGGCCUACCAAGGCGACGAUCUGUAGCUGGUCUGAGAGGAUGAUCAGCCACACUGGGACUGAGACACGGCCCAGACUCCUACGGGAGGCAGCAGUGGGGAAUUUUGGACAAUGGGGGCAACCCUGAUCCAGCCAUUCCGCGUGAGUGAAGAAGGCCUUCGGGUUGUAAAGCUCUUUCGGCAGGAACGAAACGGUGGGCUCUAACAUAGUCCGCUAAUGACGGUACCUGAAGAAGAAGCACCGGCUAACUACGUG